UGCUUUAUCUUUUGUGAAUUAAUUAUUUGUGAAGAGUCUUGCUUUCAUAUUCUGUAGAGUUGUGUAAUGAAAAGUAAUGCUACAUUUACUAACUUAUACUAUAAUGUCUUCUUAAUAUUAAUCAAGUUUAAUCCAUUUGGCAAUGAGAGCCUUCCUAGAUAAUCAAGUUUUGUCCAGUGAAUUACUUUCUAUAAUGGGCAACUCUCUAGCUCUUAUGCAAUGAACUAGUUGUUGGAAUUUUCUUUAUGGCCCGUAACCUCCCACUUAUCCACUCAACUUCAAUUUCAAAUUUAAAAUUCUCUAUAACUGUUGCCGCUCCUUUAUCUAAGGAACUGUCUAACUGCUCCUGAUGGUGGAACGGUUAUAUAUAUUGAGUCAUCUCCGGUUCUGGUCCCUAAGAACAAUCCUCUAAAAAUUCACACCAUCUAAGUGAGGUUGAGUGCUUAGAAAACUCACUGGAAAGCAACACCGACAACAUUUUGACGACUCCGAUGACUCCAACGAAUACUGACAAUGGCUGGAGUUAUGCAACCUGCGAACUUCUCUGAUAUUUGUGAUGUUCCCGAAUUGAAUAGUGAGAACUAUAAAAUCUGGAAGGAGAGAAUUCUUCUUCACUUAGGGUGCAUGGACAUUGAUUAUGCUAUCAGAAAAGACGAACCGCAUAUUGAUGAAAUUAGCACUCAAGUUGAGAUUGCUCUUUAUGAACAAUGGGAGUGCUCUAAUAGUUUGAGUGUUAUGUUCAUUAAGACCAAAAUCUCUGCUGGUAUUCGUGGUUCGGUCGAACAACAUUACAAUGUCAAGGCAUUACUGAAGGCUAUUGAUGAACAAUUUGAGACUUCAGAUAAGGCACUUGCCAGCACCUUAAUUAUGAAAUGCUCAUCAAUGAGGCUCACCUGUGUGAGAGGUGUGCAUGAGCACAUCAUGAAGAUGUGAGACUUAGCGACUAAACUAAAGACUCUAGAGGUUGAAAUGUCUGAAACUUUUCUUGUGCACUAUAUUUUGAAUACUUUGCCUGCACAAUUCAGCCCUUUUAAGAUCUCCAGUAACACACAUAAGGAUAAAUGGUCUAUCAUUGAACUUAUGGCCAUGUGUGUUCAAGAGGAGGGUCGAUUGGUGAUGAAAACUGGAGAAAGUACAUUUAUGACUACUCAAGGACAGAAGUCUCAUCAAGCCAAUAAAAAGUUGAAAGGAAAAGAUCCACUUGACUCUGACAUCAAAAAAGAAUUCAAGUGUCGCUUCUGUAGAAAGAAGGGACACAUAAAGAAAAAUUGUUUCAAGUUUCAAUAAUGGAUUGAGAAGAAAGGACUUAACAAGCCUGCAGAAGCCAGUGGGAGUUGAGCGAAGCAUCUAUUUAAGAAACAAGAUGCAGUCCCGUGUAGAAGCUAUUGGAACAUGCACUUUAGUUCUUAGUAGUGGUUUUAUUUUAGAGUUGGAAAAAACUUUUUAUGUUCCUAACUUUUCUAGGAAUUUAAUUUCAGUAUUAAGACUUGUACCUUUGGGAUACUCCUUCUUUCUAGAAGGUUAUUCUAAUCUGUUUUAUAAAUCUAAACUUCUUGGAUAUGGUACACUAUCUGAUGAUCUUUUUUCUCUUGAUUUUCAAAAUAAUUCCACUCAUAAUGUUAUGCAUGUUCAAACUGGGAUCAAACGAUAUGUUAUGAAUGAAAAUUUUUAUGUUUUAUGGCUUCGAAGAUUGGGACAUAUCUCCCUAGAUAGAAUUAAGAGAUUAGUAAAUGAUGGAGUGCUUAGUACUUUAUAUUCUAUUGAUUUCAAUACUUGUCUUGACUUCAUUAAAGGUAAGCAGGCAAACAAGUCAAAGAAAAGUGCCAAGAGGAGUUCAAACAUAUUAGAAAUCAUACAUUCAGAUAUAUGUUGUCCAGAUAUGGAUGCAUAUGGUCAGAAAUACUUUUAUCACCUUUAUAGAUGAUUACUCACGAUAUAUGUAUCUCUACAUGCUUCAUAAUAAAAGUGAAGCACUAAAAGCCUUUAAAGUGUUUAAGGCUGAAGUAGAGAAACAAUGCAGAAAGCAAAUUAAAAUUGUGAGGACUGAUAGAGGCGGUGAGUACUACGGUAAGUACACUGAGGAUGGAAAAGCACAAGGUCCAUCUGCAAAAUUUCUUUAGGAAAAUGGGAUUGUUGCCCAAUAUACUAUGCCUGGUUCUCCAGAUCAAAAUGGUGUAGAAGAAAGAAGAAAUCAAACAUUAGUGGAUAUGGUGCGUAGUAUGUUAAGUAGCUCUAAGCUACCUAUGUCCUUGUGGAUUGAAGCUCUUAAUACGACGGUGUAUAUAUUAAAUCGAGUUCCAACCAAGGCUGUCUUAAAGACACCUUUUGAGUUGUUCAAAGGUUGGAAACCAAGUUUAACACAUAUUCGCGUAUGGGGAAGCCCGUCUGAAGUAAGAAUUUACAAUCCACAAGAAAAGAAACUGGAUCCUAGGACCAUUAGUGGAUAUUUUAUUAGAUAUGUCGAAAGUUAUAAAGGAUACAAAUUCUAUUGUCUAUCUAACAACAUUAGGAUUGUGGAAUCAAGAAAUGCAAAACUUUUUGAAAAUGACUUAAUUAGUGGGAGCGAUCAACUUCAGAAUACAAUUUCUGUUAGAGAUCGACCUUCCACUUUAAGUCAACGAUUGAUUGUCGUACAUAACACCCCUCAAGUACAAUUGGGUGUUGCACAAAAAAUCAAUGAGAUUCCACAAGCUGUUGAAAAUGUUCAAGUAGAUCAAGUUCAAAUGAUUCUAGAAAUUAUUGAGCAACCAGUUGAAUAACAUGAUCCUUAGAAAAAUAUUGGUGCAACAUUAAGAAUAUCUACUAGAGAAAGAAAAUCAGAAAUUCCUAGUGAUUUUGUUGUGUAUUUGCAAGAAUCUAAUA